rnacentral:lncRNA from 1 species
AAUGCAAGAUCAUCUCAAUCGCAAGGAGGUUGGCUUGGCCGACCGAAUGCACUAACUUGAAGACACCAUCCUGCAGCUGACGGAGUCUCUGAUGCUACUUGACGCCAGUAGCAACAUGCCCAACCGGUCAGGGCAACUGCGUCCGCCUCGCGAAGAUGGGGGUUGACCACCGAUUUGCUCCAAGCUUGCAAAACUAGACUUCCCUAC